rnacentral:misc_RNA from 1 species
GAUGAAGAACGUAGCGAAAUGCGAUACUUGGUGUGAAUUGCAGAAUCCCGUGAACCAUCGAGUCUUUGAAAACAAGUUGCGCCCGAAGCCAUUAGGCCGAGGGCACGCCUGCCUGGGUGUCACACACCGUUACCCUCGCGCCAACGUCCAUCGUUGGCCGCGGCGCGGGGCGUGCGCUGACCUCCCGCGAGCGGGGUCUCGUGGUUGGUUGAAAAUCGAGUUCGCGGUCGAGGGUGCCGUGAUGAAAUGGUGGAUGGGCGACGCCCGAGGCCAAUCACGCGCGACUCUGUCCGGCUCGGACUCCAGGACCCCUUCGGCGUCUCGGGACGCUCUUUGGCGAGACCUCAGGUCAGGCGGGGCUACCCGCUGAGUUUAAGCAUAUAAAUAAGCGGAGGA